GUGAACUAGAAGUUAGAACAAAAUCAUGGAAAACUACCAAAAAUUUUUUGAGGUUAUAAAAAGUGAAACGGAUAUUAGAAGAAAAUCAUUGAAAAAUAUCAAAAAUACUUUUAGGUUAUAACAAGUGAACUGGAAGUUAGAACAAAAUCAGGGAAACUACCAAAAAUUUUUUGAGGUUAUAAAAAGUGAAACGGAUAUUAGAAGAAAAUCAUCGAAAAAUAUCAAAAAUACUUUUAGGUUAUAACAAGUGAACUGGAAGUUAGAACAAAAUCGUGGAAAAGUACCAAAAAUUUGUUGAGGUUAUAAAAAAUGAACUUGAAUUAGAAGAAAAU